UUUACAAUUUAAUCCCUUAUUAUAUACUUUCAUUACACAAAAUUAAUUUACUUGAAAUUGAAAGUAAAUGGAUAUCUUCACUAUUUCAAAUUAAAUAAUAACACAAAUAUUUUUUAAGUUAAAUUCUUGAAGUACUUACCUAUCUUUACAUAUUUUAUAUUUAGAUUUUAAUAGGUAUAGUAAAAUUCUUGAAGUACUUACCUCUCUUUUAUUAGAAUUUCACUAUUUUGCUUUUAAUUCUCUUCCUUCCUCACUUUUGUCACCAUCUUCACUUUGUUUCCAACACUUCCAUCUUUUCUUCUCUUUUUCUACUUCAUGAACACAUCAAAUAGAAAAUCAACUUCUUUACUAGAAAUCACUUUCUCAUAUCUCUACUUCAACUAAACAUAAAUUUCAUAGGAAAACACUUGAAUUCUUACCUUGUCUCUUUAAUCUCUUCACUUUCUUCUCAACUUUCUUCACUUCCAAUUCCAAUUCCAAUUUCUUGUUUCCAAGAUGAUAAUCAAACUCUCUAGAAUCUCUAAUUCACUUUUCCUUUUUGGUGGCUAUGAAAAUUCUCAAGAUUUUUGAGUGAAAAUGAUGAAAUUGAUGGAAAAGGACUAAUUUGUAAAGAAAUGAAAAUUCC
rnacentral:lncRNA from 1 species